AGGCUUGGAAGCGAAUGUUGUGAACAGAUCCAACUGCAUCAAUAAAAGGGAUUCUACUAGUUCUCUGCCAGAGCGUCGGUUUUUUGGCAGGGAGGAGGAAGAAAGGGAGAUACUCAAACUAUUGAUCCGUGAGGUCAAAAAUAAUGAUGCCACACUAAGCAUAGUCGCGAUAGUUGGGAUGGGCGGUGUUGGAAAGACGGCCUUGGCUCAGCAGCUAUAUAAUAAUGCCGAAGUGAAUAGCUAUUUUGAGAAGAGAGCAUGGGUUUGUGUCUCAGAUGAUUUUGAUGUCCUUGACAUAACAAAGACUAUUUUGCAGUCAAUCACCGGAUUGUCCAGCGAGGGUGAUCUUAAUGUCCUUCAAGUUAAGUUGAAGGAUAGUAUAUCUGGGAAGAAGUUUCUUGUGGUUUUAGACGAUAUUUGGAAUGAGAAGUACAAAAAAUGGACUGAUCUCUUAAAGCCAUUUGAAGUGGGGGCUAGGGGAAGCAAGAUUAUCAUCACGACUCGCAACCUUAAAGUUGCUUCCAUAACAGGAGCUUUGCCAUAUCAUUUGAGGGAAUUGUCCUUUGAUAAUUGUGUCAGCUUAUUAGCCUUUCAUGCUCUUGGAGCAACAAAUUUUGAGAGCCACCCGGCUUUUAAAAUAAUAGGCAUGAAAAUAGCCGAAAGAUGUAAAGGUUUACCUUUGGCAGCGAAGGUGUUGGGCGGUGUCCUACGUACUAAAAGUAAUCCUGAUGAAUGGGAAGAUACCUUAAACAACAAAAUAUGGGAUCUUCCAAUAGCGGAGAAUGAAGAGGUUCUCCCAGUUUUAAAAUUAAGCUAUGUCCAUCUUCCUUCCCAUUUGAAGAGAUGUUUUGCUUAUUGUGCGGUUUUUCCCAAGGAUUACGAAAUUGAGAGGGAUGAGUUGGUACUCUUAUGGAUAGCAGAGGGACUUUUAGAUGGGCAAAAAGCAAAUGAGAAUAUCUUGAAAUUGGGACGGAAGCACUUUGAUGAGUUAGUAUCCAGGUCAUUUCUUCAACAAUCAAGUAUCGACGUAUCUAAGUUUUCAAUGCAUGAUCUUUUGAAUGAUCUGGCAAAGUUAAUUGCAAGAAGGACUUGCUUUAGCUCGGGGGGCUCUCAGGUGGCAAGUAAUGAACAUGAUGUGUCAUCUCUUGAAAAAACUCGUUAUGCAUCAUUCAUCCCAUUGUGGUAUGUUACAUCAAAAUGCCUGAAACCAUAUCAAGGAAUGAAGGCACUAAGAAGUUUAAUUCUGGUGUGUGAUGGAUAUUUCUCUAUUUCCAACAAGGAGCUGCAUGACUUGCUUAAAAACUUGAAGUACUUGCGAGUAUUCUCGUUAUGUCAUUGUUUCAUCGAAGAGGUACCGAAUUGUGUUGGUGAUUUAAAACAUCUUCAAUAUCUCAAUUUCUCGUACACUCAUAUCAAGAGGCUACCUGAGUCAAUUGACGCCUUGUGCAAAUUACAAGCUCUGAUUUUAAGAGGUUGUCAAAUGCUUUCAAAGUUGCCUCAAGGUAUCACAAAGUUAGUCAGCUUACAGUUUCUUGAUAUUAGAGAUACAGUGAGUCUAAAAGAGAUGCCGUUGGGUAUUGGUAAUUUAGAGGAUCUUAUUAUAUUGUCCAAAUUUGUGGUAGGACGAGAGAAAGGGUCGCAGUUGAAAGAGUUAAAGAAGUUGCCACAUCUUGAAGGAGAAUUAUUCAUGUCAGAAUUGCAAAUGGUAGAAAAAGAUAUAGAUGCAACCGAUGCUAAUUUUCUUCGAAAGCUAGACCUUGCCAACUUAUCCUUGCAUUGGGAUAAACAUGUGGGAAAUCUCCAAGAUCAUGAGCAUGAAGCACGAGUGCUUGACUUUUUGCAACCUCACACUAAUCUUGAAAAUCUCACUAUUUUGAACUAUGGUGGUGCAAGAUUCCCAUCAUGGUUAGGUUGUACGUCCUAUUCUAAAAUAGUGUCUUUGUGCUUGUGGGAUUGUCCUAAUGUUAUAUCACUACCCAUACUUGGACAACUACCUUCACUUAAGGAAUUAUCUCUUAAACGUCUAUGUGCAAUAAGAAUGAUAGGCUCUGAAUUUUACGGAGGUAGAAGGCCUUUUUCAUUGUUAACCACUUUAGAGUUCAAAGAGAUGUUGGUAUGGAAGGAUUGGUCUCCCUAUGUCGAGGGCUCAGAAGAAGAAGUUUCAUUCUUCUGUUUGCAGCAUCUUGUUGUCUGGGGCUGUCCUUUGUUGGUCGGGACAUUACCUUGUCAACUUGAUCAUCUCAUAAGGCUUGAAAUUCAUUCAUGUCCACAUUUGAAAAACUCAACCAACGAUGUUUGUCUUCCAUCUCUCCAUGAGUUGUUCCUUGAGGAUUGUAACAAGGAGAUCUUGAAGAGAUUGGUCAACCUAACUUCUUUGACCAAUCUUAGAAUUAAGAAUCUUGUAGAGCUUGUUUGCUUUGAUCAUGGGUUAAUGAGUAACUUGAUCAAGCUAAAGGAGCUUCAUAUAGAAGGGUGUGACCAGUUACAAUACUUGUGGGAAGAUGGAAAUGAAAUGCUAAAAUCUAUUGCCAGCUUUAGUAAUCUCACUAUUUUGAAUAUUAGUGAGUGUCCAGCAUUGGAGAUGGAGAAUUUCCCUCCCCUUCCCAUCACCUUGUCGUCUCUUGAAAUUAGUGAUUGUCCGAAGAUGAAGUCUCUGCCAAAUCACUGGUGUCAUCUUACAUCCCUCGAGUACCUCCUUAUUAGACAGUGCAAAAAUAUCAAAUGCUUGCCCGAAGGAGGUUUGCCUCCCAAUUUAGUGACCCUCAUAAUUAAUGGGUGCGAGAAUCUGGAGCAGCCAAUGAGAGAAUGGGGCUUACCCCUGCUCAUGUCCCUCACGUUUCUAAAUAUUGACGGAAGCAGCAUGGGAGGGGAGGGAGAGAAGGUGCGGUUUCCUUCAGGAGACGAGGACGAGGAGGAUGCGUGGCGUCUUCUCUAUCCUUCCUCUCUAACACGUCUUUAUAUAACAAAUAUGAGGAACGUGGAAAGAUUAUCACGCGGUCUUCGGAACCAUCUCUCCUCUCUCCGACGUUUAAGGAUUGAAGAUUGCCCGAAGUUGAGGGACUUGCCAGAGGAUGGCCUCCCUCCCUCCCUCCAUACAUUCAUAAUUCAUGGAUGCGAGAUUCUAAAAGAUCGAUGCUCAAAACACACCGGCGACUAUUGGCCCCUCAUAGAUCCUGAGCAUCGUGAUUGAUCGCCAUCUGAUCCAACAAAUUGAUUCGUCCUGGUACAGUCAAGUUUUCUAGGGUUCGGGUAAGUUUAUGGUUUCGAAGGCAUCGAUUUCCCCUUCUGCUUCCUCAACUCGAUGCUCAAUACAAAUCGAUACUUUCCCAUGUAGAUGUUUCACGUAACUUUCUGGAAGUCCGAGAAAUCCCCUAACAUACGCAUUGAUUGGGUUCGGAUCCAAUGAAGUUAGAUCGAUCCGCUUUCGCUUUCAUUUGCCAAGUGACACGAUUCAUCCUUCAAUGUGCAGUCAGUUUUCUUGCGGUUAGGGUAAGUUUUUGGGUCUUGAAUGCAUCAAUUUCGCUUCUGUUCUUCAAUUCGAUGCUUUAUGCGAAUUAAUUUUUUCCCAUGGCAAAGUGUCGAAUGGAAUUUCCAGAAACCGACUUAUCGUGAAAUACAACAAAAAUUCAGGGCUGAAAGAAUGAUAUUUAGUUGCUUGAAUCCCAUCAAGAGCUUCCUUUAGUCUCCAAUUGCACUGCUUGCGGAAGUUGAUGAUAUUCUUGUAUGCCACUGCAGCAUCCAUCUCAUCUACUGCGUUGGGCCUGCUUUUCUCUUCAUUCACUGCAAUGCACUUUCGAACAGCAAGUGAUUCAGCCUCCUCUGCAGGCAUGCAUCUCCUCUGUUUCAUUUCCGGCCUCAAUCCCAACAAAGGCAUGUUAUGUAAGACCCAUCUUAGUUAAUCUUCACAAAACCUAGCUCUGUUUUACUCCAGGCACCGUGCCUUUCAUCCACCCGAUCGUGACUCUGCUUCCAUUUUUACUGGAACACCCUUCAAAAGAGCUUUUUUGACCUGUGCAAGUGAUAGUUUUUAGUAUCUGGUGAUUUAAGGGUAAAAGUUACUAUAUUUUGAGCUUUCCAGAUAUACCAAUAGGUCUGGGCAAUCAUUCCUAGGAGUUAUUAAGCAUACAAAUGAGUUAUUUGUGAGUUAACAAAUCACAAGAAUUUUUCAAUGAAAAAAACAAAUAGAAAAUCAUCAAGAGGGUAUCCCAGUUCAUUUUUCAUUGCUGUGAAUUGGGUAUGCAUAUAAUUUUGUUCUGAGCACUCUUCGCAUGAAAGGUAAUUUUUAUUCAGGACUAAUUGCUUUGUCUUGUUUCAGAUUUUUGGCUGAGAAAUAUGAGGGAUGUGGAAAGACUAUCAACUGUGGACGAUGUAACAAGCAUGGAGUGUUCUGUUUCCUUCGUCUCUACAUCUCUUUGGAUGAGAACUAUGAGGAAUGUGGAAAGAUUAUCAAGUGAUCUUCACAGCUAUCUCUCCAUUCUCGAAUGGCUACAUUUUAUGGGUACUGGAACUUGCCAGAGGAUGGCUUCUUUCCCUCUUCCAAGUAUUCGGCACAAUGCAAUUUCAAAUUCUGAGAGAUUGAUGCUCAAAACUCAGUGGUGACUAUUGGCACCUCAUCCAAGAUAUCCAGCUCAUCGUAGUUGAUCGAGUUCGGGUAAUAUAAGAAGAUAUCUCUCCAAUGUCUAAUUUUUGUCCUUCAGGUAAUGAUUCAGACGUCCUUUCUUUCUUGCACACUCGUCAUUUAGCUACUGUUGCUGCUGCAGGAUCCAUGUCUAUUCUGAAAUCGUCAACUCGAUACUAAAAACUUCAUGUUAUUCAAUGGACGAGCUUCACCUAAAUUUCCACAAACCAGUUACCGAAGGUCCAACAUUGACAUUUAGGUUGCUCUGUUUUGUUUAACAAGGAAGUACGCAAUGAAAUGGUUAAAAUGCUUGCAUCGUACAGCGAGUCAACCAUUGUUUUAUACAAGUGACUAUUCCUCAAAACAAAUAAUACUUGCAUGGAUUUGCUCACAGUGCUGGAAUUAUGAUGCGUGGAUGUGCCUGUUUGAUGUUAUAUUUUGAACUUUUUUCAUUCCCAAAACUUGUUUAUCUUUCCACUCAUGCAAAUGCACUAUGCUUUGCGUGAGAAUCAUGAAGAAUUGUUGCUUUUAUAUUGAUAUUUUUCUGCAAUUUCAGCGUUUGUUGUAUUUUCUCUUCCAAAUAUCUUCUUUUUUAUGCUCUAGCUCAGUGACCUGAACUAUCUCUACUAUGCUUGUCGGGCAAAACAUCCCACUGUCAUCUUUGCUUGGCAAAAUCUCUCGGUAGGAUCAAAUGCAAACACUGUCAAGUUAGGCAACUAAUGUGCUUACGUUUAUCUUUUGCAACUUUACAAAAAAAAAAACAAAAACAAAACAAAAACAAAAGGCUAUUUAUUUUGGUAGGUGUACUGAUAUGCUCUAAACUUUUUUUUUAGUGACAUGCUCCGAAAGAUUAAUCCAUAUCAUGAUGUCAAUUUUCGAGUUCUAUAUUCAUGGUCAAAUGGAGAAGCUUUUUUACUUAUAACAACAGCAGCUACUGUAACGAUGCAAAAAAUAGGAUUUAAAACAGGUGUUUUCAAGUUGGUGAAUAUUGUUGACACCUAAUUUUUGCCCAAAUUAUUGCAUAUAGAUUAUCUAGGUAUUUAAAAUGGAAGAUGUUUUCCCUAAAAAAAAAUUAAAAAAUUAAAAAAUUAAAAAAUUAAAAAAAAAAGAGAUAAAAGAUAAAAAAAAAGAUUAAAAAGAAAAGAAAAGAAAAAAAGUUGGGGCCAAUGAUCUAAAUGUGACUAGCCAAGCCCAGGAGGUCAUAUUGGAAUUCAAAUGGCAAGUUGGGGCCCAAAUGCAAUUUCCAAAAGUCGAGGGACCAAUUCGUAAAUUUUGCAAAAUUUGCGCCCGAGCCCUUAAUUCAUCAUCUUGGUCAUCAAUUAAGUUGAAAUUGAAUUUGGUCCAAGCAGAAUCAAUCAAAUUGAGCCAAAAAGGACCUAAUUGCAUUGAAUUUGGCAUUUUCGGGCAAGAAAAUGGCCAACUUUGAGGUACUUUCUUGUAAAAUUGGGUGGAGAUAAUUGCGAAAAAUGGUCAAGAUCUUAAACUACUAUACAUGAGCUUUCUAAUUGAUCAAAAAACGCAGCCAAAUUAGUGGAUUAAAGCACUCAAAUCAGCAGCCAAAACUCAGUCCACGAGUUGGUCUUAAUCCGGAGUUGCUGAGUAAGCAAUUUGGUGGCCCCACCAUAUCCUCCUCAGCUGCCCAACCAGCCCGAUAUUUGCACUUGAUGGAAGACCGUAUAUAGUAGUGCAAGUGGACGAAAAUUGGCCAGAGAUAAGCUUCUGACAGCACCGGAAAAUCGCAGCAAAACCUGCACACUCAACAGCUGCAGAAGUUAAAAAAUUGGCUAAGUCAGAAGAGUAGUUGAAGUAGCCCUGUUGACAGGCUUGGUCGGUGGGCAAAAGGCUGACCAAAAAUCCCUUAAUUCGGGGGAUAAGGUCACGGAAGCAAGGUCUUUCGAGAGAGGAGAGAGAGGAGACGAGAGGGAGAGGGGAGAGCUCGGAAUCGUCCCCCAAAGAGGCCCUCAGAAGCAACUCCAGAAAAGAAAACCCAGAAAUUCCAGAUCAACCUUCUGAGAGAAAAGUGAGAUUUUCGCGAACCUGCAGCCAAAAUUAGCCAAAACCUUAAACUAGAGAGUGAAACAUCACUCAAAUAUCUUUCCAUCCAUAGGUCGCACGUCCAAAAUGUAGAUCGGGAAGGCCUCCUAAAGCCCCCCGAAACAGUGCCCUCCUGUCGGGCCAAGAAAGUCCGAAAUUUUUCUAAGUGUCGAGACUGGUUGGUCACGAGUGAGGAAAGCCAGUGUUUUUGAGAAAGUUGAGAGACAAAUGAGGAAAAUAUUGACUUUUAACCCAGACUAGAAUACAUAUAGUUUUUCGUGGUGUCAAUUUUUCCAACAAAAUACGUCUUGAAGUCUAAUGUUAGAGCCCAACGAAAACCUUCGUUGUCAGUUCAUUUUUUUUGCAGAUCUCAUUUCUAGUUGAAGAAGUCAACUUCCACAGGCCCCCCGAGGAUAAUUUGUCGGUUUCAUCGGCCAAGAACCACUUGAAAAAGAAACUAGGAAGAAAGGUAAGCACCCUAGAUGUAUUUAUUUUCGAGUUUGAGCAUGUUUUGAUCAUGAAAAUCAAGAGGAAAACCGGCCCGGAAAACUGAUUUCUGAGGUUGAAAUUUUUCUUAGUGUUUGAAAUCUCUUCAAGAGUGUUGCAUGUGUGCUUCUUGGAGAGGUCUCUUUGAUGUUGUUCGGUGGGUCAUUCUCUGUGAUGUUUAUUGCAUUUGAAAGCUCAUGUUACCUACUUUCAUUCGGAUCAAGUAAUGUUUCCCUUAGAUCUCGUAUGUGAUAGGUGUCGGGGCUUGAAUAUGGGCACUCAACCUGUUUGCUUGACUUGGGUUCAAAUCCAGAUUUGCAAAAUCAGAUCAAACCCGCAUAUUUGAUGAGGAUUCCAGCUUGGUUUUCAUGUGUUUUAAGCUGUGUUUUUUUAUCUAUAUUACUCCUUGCAUGUUGUAGUUUAACCUUGAUGUUUUAGUUCCAUAUAAUAUUGCUCAUGAGUUGAGAUUGAAGACCGCAAACAUGGCCCGAGGAAGCUGAUUGGGGCUAGUUUAAUGCACCAAGUGUUCGACAAAAUGCUCAAACUAAGCUUCGAUCUUGAAACGAUCGAUUUGAGCUUGAUUAUUGUGAUAUUCAUGUGCUGUGUUACUCCAUGUUAGCAUAGAUCGGUUUAAGGAAUUAUUAUUAUUUUUUUUUUUAAAAAAUAAUUAAAAAAGAGAAAAAUAUGAAAAUUUCAAAAAUAUCAAAAAAUGUUAGAUAGCAUCAAAUUAGGAUAUAAAUGACAUAUAUGAAAUUUUCCUAAUUUUAAAAGGUCAUUUUCCUAAUUUAAUGCUAUUUUGGUAUUUUAUAACCAUUUUUGUAAAUAAUCCAUUUUGCGUAGAUUAAAACUAUUUAAAGUAAUUUCAUGCAUAUAGAGUAAUUUCAUGCAUAUUUGAACUCUCAUUUUGCUCAUGGGGGUCUUGUCCCGGGGCGUGAUAACAAGGCCAUGUAAUAUUAUUUGCCCGACUUGUAUCGAGUUUACCUUUUCCGCGUUUAUUUUCAAGUCAUUUCAAUUUCUUGGAUGUUUACUUACGCGCCGCUUUUCAUUAUUUUGAGUGUAAAUUUCUCUUCUAAAUUAUGUUAGGAUUAGUCUAGACAUUAAAAAAAAAAAUACAAAAACAUUUGCAUGGACACUUAGUGGUUUCAUAAAGAUUAUAAUUGGUAAUCAAGAUUGUAUGGCCAUUUAGAUAAACAACCUUCCAAGUUAGUGGUACCGCAAGGGCGCUAAUAGAAACAUUGGCGUAAACAAGUCCCCGUUCCUAGAAAUCUCUGGUUGCGUAUGAAUCGAGACAACACUCCCGUGUCUUGAUUGGUUUCUAGCCGACCUCAAUAGGCUAGUGGCGACUCCUAGAAUUACAUAGGUUGUUAAUAACUAAAAAACGAAUCCAAUGUCGCGCGGGGUAUGGGCUUGGGAGAGCCCGCGCCUAAUCUAGGGCCAUUGGUCCACCUCUUUACGCAAAUACCCCUAAACCUUCUUCUUUUUCCCCGGACAGAAAAAAAGAGGUCGUGACAAAUAUGACAACAAAAUUUGAUUGAGCCCUGCAGUAUCAGCCAUUUAAAUCUGAGUUCCUUGUUAAAGUUCAUCAUUUAUCUUUCUCCUAUUCAACUUCCCACACCAUCUCACAGCACAUUUUCUUUUUCUUUGUUGUUGGGAAAAGGUGGAAAGGAGCAAUAAGGAAGACUAUGAUUUGUCCAAAUUUUGGGAUAUUUCUAUGCAAGAUUCUGAAAGAUCACUGCUCAAAACUCACUGGCAACUAUUGGCCCCUCAUCCAAGAGAUCCCUCCCUUCUACAUUGAUGGUGUUCAAAUCCAGUGAAUUGAAAUUGAUCACACCCGAGCCAUGACAAAUGAUUUAUCUUCAUUGACUACUUUUCCUUCUUCAGGUAAUUCUUAUAACUUCUUUCAUUCUUUUGCUUCCAUUUGCUAUCUGCCACAAUUCGUUGUUCCACCUAAAGUCAGCUUUCUGGGGUUGCGGUCAAUAUUUUGGGUUUGAAGGUAUCAAUUUCUGUUUUGUUCUUCAGUUUGAUGCUUAAUACAGAUUGAUUUUUUCCCGUGGAGAUGUUUCUCAUAGAAUUUCCAAAAACCAGCCACUGAAGGUCAGAGACUGACAUUUGGGUGUGUCGUGUGUGUCCUCGAUGGGGUCUUUUCUUUUUAGGCCAGCAACUCACUCACGGUUGAAAUAAGCCAAAUGUGAUAAGAAGGAUGGGGGAUAUAGAUGUAGGUCCCAGUUUUGGCAAAGCUACCUAAUGGGCACAAGCAUUUGGUUUUCGUGAAAUAUAGCUAAAAUUUGGGGCUGCAAAAUGAUCUUUAGCUUCUUGAAUCCCAUCAGGCACAUCCUUUAGUCUUUAAUUGCACUGUUUGGGAAAAUUGAUAAUAUCCUUGUAUACCACAGCUGCAUUCAGCUCCACUACUACCUUGAUUCAGCUUUUUUUUUAGCUACUGCAAUGCUCUUUCGAACAGCAAGUAAUUCAGCCUCCUUUGCAGAUCUAGCUUGCACUACCACACCUCUGCAGGCAAUUAUCUUCCCUGUUUCAUUUCUGGCCAUAAUCCCAAUGACAGCAUUUUUAGUUCCUCCAAAGUAAGAGCCAUCACAGUUAAUCUUCACAAAACCUAGCUCAGGUUUACUCUACACACCUUGCCUUUCAUCCACCCAAUCAUGACCCAGCUCUCCUACAUUUUUACAAGAAACGCAGUUUGAAAGUGCUUUUUUAAUUUGUAGGAGUGACAGUUUCAGGAUCAAGUGAUUUAUGGUCAAAGAUUACUGCAUUUCUAGCAUUCCGGAUAUACCAACUGGUGUAGGCAAUCAUUCUUAAGCGUUAUCAGCCUGUACCAAGUCAUUCGAAUCUCCUAGCCUCACAUUUGUAGAAUAUCAACCCAUACCAAUAAGUCACCAUCGCUAGUGAUUAGCAGUCUCCCAUACUUGUUAGUCAACAUAGCCAUAAGGGUUUUUUAGCAAAAGGAAAAACCAUUCAAAAGGGUCACCGAUUCCUGACAAUAAUAAAGCAAAGUAUCCCGGUUCUUGUCUUGUUUGCUCAUUUUUGGUUGCUUUUGGGUGGGUAUGCAUAUGAUUUUGUUUGUCGGAUCACUCUUGUAGUUGUUCAUUAAGCAUGAAAGGCAACUGUUAUUCAGGACUAAUUGAUCACCCGUUCCAGGUUUUUGGAUGAGAAAUAUGGGGAAUGUGGAAAGACCAUCAACGGUGGAGGAUGUAUGAUGCAUGGGGUCUUCUGUUUCCUUCCUCUCUAACCUCUCUUUGGAUGAGAAAUAUGAGGAGUGGAAAGACUAUCAAGUGGUGUUCAUGGUCAUCUCUCCUCCCUCAAAAGUUAUAUUUUCUAUGUUGCUCGAAGUUUGGGUACUUGCCAGAGGAUGGCUUCCCUCCCUCCCUCAACGUAUUCCACAUAAUUCAAUGUGAGAUUUUGAAGGAUGGAUCCUCUUUUGCGGGCAACUACUGGCACCUCAUCCAAGAAAUCCCACUCAUUGUGAUUAAUCUAGUUCGGAUCCAACAGGAAGAUUUCUCUCCACUGUUUUAAGUUUUGCUCUUCAGGUAAUGAUUUGGACUUCUUUCUUUCACACUUGUCAUUUAGCUACUGCUGCUCCAGGAUCCAUUUUCAUUAUGCUUCCUCAACUCAAUGCUAAAAUGUUCAUUUUUUUCCAUGGACGUGCUUCACAUAAAUGUCCACAAACCAGCUGCUGAAUGUCCAACGUUGACAUUUGGGUUGCCCUGUUUUGUUUACCAAGGAAGUACACAAUGAAAUGAUUAUAAUGCUAAUGUGGUACAGCCAAUGACAAUUCCUCGAACAAAUAAUACCUCCAUGGACUUGCUCAUGGUGCUGGAAUUAUGAUGUGUCAAAUGUGCCUGUCUAUAUCGAUUGUGAUGGCCAAAAAUUGCUUAUCUCUGCACUUGGAUGACACAUAAAGAAUUUGCUAAUGGAAAUGCACCAUGCAUUGCGUGAGAAUUAUGAAAAAAUUGUCACUCUCAUAUCGAAAUUGUUCUGCAAUUUCAGCAUUUGCUGUAUUUUCUCUUCCAAAUAUCUGUUUCUUAUGCCCUAGCUCACUGACCCGAAUUCUCUCGACUGUGCUUGUCUUGCAGAAGAUCCCACUGUCAUCUGUGUCUGGCAAAAUCUCUUGGGCUGAUCAAAUGCAAAUACUGUUGAGGUAGGCAACUGAUGUACUUAUGUCAUCUUUUGCAACCUGACAAAAGAUAAAAAAAAAAGCUAUUAAUUUUGGUAGGUGCAUCGAUAUGCUUUAAUUUUUUUUUUCUUUUUGUGACAAGGUCUAAAUAAGAUUAAUCUUUAUCAUGAUGUUGAUUAUCAAGGUCUAUAUUCAAAGUCAAAUUAAGAAGCUUUAUUACUUUGAAUAACAGCUAUUGUAAAGAUGCAAAAAUGGGAUCUAUAAUGGGUUCUCAAGUUGGCAAAUAUGAGAACUAAAUUUCAAUGAACCUUGCAUAUUAUAAUCUAUUCAAAUCUGACUUUCUUGUUAAAGUUCACAAUUCAUCUUUCUUCUAUUUAAAUCUCACACCAUCUCAGAGAACAUUUUCAUUUUCUUUGUUGUAAAGGAAAGGCGGAGAGGAGCAAUCAGGAGAUUAUGCUUUGUUGCUCUGUUGAGUAAUCCUAAAAGUCUCACGUCUGCCACGAAGUAUUUUGAUUUAAAAUUGCAAGAAGGUCAUCAUCCAAUACCACUUGCAACCCAGUUAUCUUGGGUAGGCAAGUCUCAUCGUUAUCCCACUAAGCUGCCAGAGCUUUAGUUAAUCUUCACAAAACCUAGCUCAGGUUACUCUACAAACCCUGCCUUUUGUCCACCCAAUCAUGACAGUGAUUUAUGUAGUGACAGUUCCAGGAUCAAGUGAUUUAUGUUUAAUGGUUACUGUAUUUCAAGCAUUGGAGAUAUACCAGUACGUGUAGGCAAUCAGUCUUAAGAGUUAGUAGCUCGUACCAAGUCAUUUGAUCACCUGACCUCACUUUUGUAAAAUAUCAGCCCAUGCCAAUAAGUCUCUAACACCAGUGAUUAGUGGUCUUCCAUACUUGUUUGUUAACAUAAUCAUAAGAGUUAUCCAGCAAUUAUAAAAAAAAACUCAUCAAUAGGGUAUCCUGGUUCACUUUUUGUUGCAGUCAAUUAGGUGUGCAUAUAAUUUUGUUCUGAUCACUCUUGUAGUUGUUCAUUAUGCAUGAAAGAUAAUUUUUAUUCAGGACUAAUUGCUCGCCCUGUUUCAGACUUUUGGAUGAAAAAUAUGAGGACUGUGGAAAGACUAUCAAUGGUGGAGGAUGUAAGAAGCGUGGAGUAUUCUGUUUCCCUUGUCUCUAAUUUCUCCUUGGAUGAGAAACAUGAGGAACAUGGAAAGAUUAUCAAGUGAUCUCUCUCCCCUCACUCAAACAACUAUCUUUUGUAGGUUACUGGUACUUGCCAGAGGAUGGCUUUGCUCCCUGCUCCAAGUAUUCGUCAUAAUGCAAUGUGAAAUUCUGAAAGAUUGAUGCUCAAAACUCAUAGUGAUGACUGUUGGCACCCUAUCCAAGAAAUCCCUUUCAUUGUAGUUGAUUGAGUUUGGAUUCAAUAAGAAGAUUUCUCUGCAAUGUCUAAUUUUUAUUCUUCAGGUAAUGCUUUGGACUUCUUUCUUCUUCCACACUUGUCAUAUAGCUACUGCUACUGCUCCAGGAUCCAUUUCUAUUAUGAAUCCUCAAUUUGAUGCUAAAAAGUUCACGUUUUUCCAUGGACAAGCUUCACAUAAUUUGCCUCAAACUAGCUAGACAUUUAGGUUGCUCUGUGUUGUUUGAUAAGGAAGCACACAAUGAAAUGGUUAUAAUGCUGAUGGGGUACAGCUAGUCCACCUUUGUUUCAUACGAGUGACUUCCUCAAAACAAAUAACACUUCAUGGGCUAGCUCACAGUGCUGGAAUAGUGAUGCACGGAUGUGCUUGUCUGGAUUGAUGAUAUAUCUUGAACUUUGUUCGGUGCCCAAUUAUGGCUCAUCUUUCCACUUAUGGAAAUGCACUAUGCUUUGCGUGAGAAUCAUGAAGACUUGUUGCUCUUAUACCGAUAUUUUUCUGCAAUUUCAGCAUUUGUUGUAUUUUCCAUUCCAAAUAUCUUUAUUUUAUGCCCCAACUCAGUGACCUGAAUCUUCUCAACUGUGCUUGUUUUGCAGAAUAUCUCACCGUCUUUUAUUUGGGAAAAUCUCUCGGGAGGAUCAAAUGCAAACACUGUUGAGGUAGGCAAAUGAUGUGCUUAUGUUCAUCUUUUGCAACUUGACAAAAGAAAAACAAAAGGCUAUUUAUUUUGAUAGGUGUAGUGAUAUCCUCUAAACUGUUUUUUGGGUGACAUGCUCAAAAAGAUUAAUCUGUAUCACGAUGUCAAUUAUCGAGCUCAAUAUUGAAAGUCAAAUGAAUAAGCUUUCUUACUUCCAACAACAGCAGCUAUUUUAAAGAUGCAGAAAAUAGGAUUCAAAACAGGUGUUUUCGAUUUGGUGAAUGUGACAAUUAAAUUUGAAUGAAUCCUGCAGAUUAUAAUCCAUAUAAAUCUGACUUCCUUGUCAAAGUUCAAAGUUCAUCUUUCUUCUAUUCAAAUUCCCACACUAGCUCAGAGCACAUUUUAUUUUUCUUUGUUGUCAAGGCAAGGCGGAGAAGAGCAAUCAGGGAGACUAUGCUUUGUCGCUUUGUUACAUCAUCAUGAUAGCCUUACGUUUGCCGCGAUGUAUUUUGAUAUAAGAUUGUAAGAAGGCCGUCAUCCAAUACUACUCACAACCAUUUAUAUAUGGUAGGCGAGUUUCGUCACUAUGAGCCUACCAAGCUGCCAGAGCUCCCGUCAAAGAUGAAACAAAAUUCAUGCACCAUCAUCGCUAGGGGGUUAUCGUUGUGACGUUGCGUUCGUGAAAUAUCAACCUGUGCCAAUAGGCCACAAUCACUGGUGAUCAGCGGUUCCCCGUAGUUCUGCAAUAGCAUUAUCAUUAGGGGCAUUAAGGAAGAACAAAAUCAUCAAAACAAUCACAUUUUUUAGGCUAGCAAGUGGCAAUUGGAAGUACCCUGGUCUGUCUUGUUGAUUGGUGAGCAUGUGUAUGAUUUGUAUGUCUGAUUGCUCUUGUAAUUGUUUAUUUUGCAUGACAAAGUAAUUUUUACUGUGGGCUACUCGAUUUUCUCAUCUGAUCAUCUGUUUUUGUUCCCUUUUUCAUCUCACACAUCAUACAUUAAUCUUUUGGUUGAACUUGAAGAGUCCGAUAUAGUGACUGAUUCUAUCAAGAUAAUUAUAUUGACGAUUGCGAUCGACAAAAGUUGGGGCAUUAAAGAAAAUGUCUAGGCCCUUAGGAAAGUGAACUCUGAUCAACGUAAAGAAAACAUAAUUCUUUUUGUUUUUUUUUUUAUCUGUUUCGCUUUUUAUGCAAUUAAAAAGCAAUUUUUUCUCAACGAUUUGUGAGAAUUUUAGAUGUCUUCAAAACACCUAUCUUCAUCUAGUCAACUAAUCCUACGUUAGUUGCCUUUAUACAGUGUUACAAAUCUUCUUGCUUUUUCUUUACAGUAUGUGGUAAUAGUUUACAUGAUUGAGUUGAAUAAUGAUUGUUUCGAGAAUACCUAAAUAUUUGUCACCAAUGAUUUAGAUUUAUUGAUUUUUCAAACAAUAGUGUGUGAUAUACUAAUUUAUAGAUGUAAAUAAAUGAUAUAAGCAUAUUCAUGAUGAUUAAGAUUUGUUGAUUUUUCAAACAAUACCGUGUGAUAUACUAAUUUAUAGAUGUAAAUCAAUGAUAUAAGCAUAUUCAUUAGUCGGGAUAUCAUUUGUUAAGGUUAAAAUAACUUUUGAAAAAUUUCCCCCUGUCAAAAAAAUAAAAUAAAAUAAAAGGCUUUUCCGGAACUUCAAAAUUUGCGGAUGUCAAAAAAUAAUGACAAGUCAACUUUCCAUUAUCCAUAAUAUGACGUUGUUCUUUUCUCUUUGCCAAAAAAAUUGAUAUGGCAUAAGAGGAUGCGACUGAUCUUAAUAUUUAAAGCAGGCUCCAAAUAAGAAAAAAACUAGUAAUAUCGACAUUUCAUAUGUGGAGCGAUAUUGAUACUGUGGAGCUUAUAUAUUUCCCUUAAUAAAUUCCUAGUUUAAUACCAAAGAGAAGCCAAAAAAAAAAAGAAAAAAAAAGGACUUCCUAGUUAGUUCCCGAAACAAGCUCCCUCUUCAAAUUUUGUAGUGUGAAAUAAAAGUUAUUUUUUUCUUAAAGGAAGAUUUUAUACAUAUAUUUUCGAAAUGUUUCAGGUGUUCUCAGUGCUAAAUGCAUAUUCAACUUGAAUUUAACAACUGCAACAGUAUUAAGCCCUAACGCCAUGCUGCAAGUGCAAUGGCAUUGAAUGGGCCGUCGUUGUCAUGUUGGGCCUCAAAAGGUAGAUAGCCCCAACUCUUGGGCCUUAAUCCCAAAAUGGAUCCGAUUUUACUUGGACUUGACAUACAAUUCGGCUAAUAAGGUAAAGAAAGUUGUUCGGCUAGGACAAUGGUCACUAUUAGUAUUUGUAGAACUAUUGAAUGGGCAAGCCUAGACGGACCAAAUCGGAUAGUGACCAUCAAAAUUCUUACCUGGCCUGGCCUAUGAUUUUGGAAACUAUUAUACUUUCUUAGUAUGAAUAACAGCGUCGAUGCAAGCCAAAGCCCAAGCAGAAAUUACUUGUCCAGACUCAUUCGGGCCAUCCAUUUGCCCAAUAAUAAAACCACAUUGGACAAGUCUUGGUAGCUCUAAGCUCUAAGAGAAGAGUCAUGGCCCCAAGCUUGCCCAAUUGUUUUCCCUUAUAUUUGGGCUAGGUUUAGCCGAGCCCAAUGGGCAAUUCUUCUUUUGCUCUCAGCCUACUCAAAUGCAUGAACGAGUUUGUUUGACACUUGAAUUAGUGUAAGCAAUUCAAAAUAUCUGGUUUUAUCCCAAGGGACAAAAAUGAUAUAUAUAUAUAUAUAUAACAUGCUUAAUAUUGAUGUGGGUACUUUUUGCGUAUGGUCGAAAUUUGGGGCCUAACUAUGUGCGAAAACACACAAUCAAAUAUGAAGAAAAAUGAUUUAUUACAGUGGCUCUCUCUAAAUUUAGUUAAUGAGAGACUUGUAAUCAUUCUAAUUCCCUCUCCUUCCUUAUUCUAGCGUAAUAAGAUGAGCCGUCAUCAUCACCUAACAACAAUUUAAUUGGAAUUGUAUGGUGAGUUGACCAAAAGAAUAUCAUAAUCCAUGGAAAACCUCAAAAGGAGAAAUUUUCUCCCUCAAUGAUAAAAGUUGAUCCUCGGCAUUUUCGUCAAAGGAUUCAAUGUGAAACAAAAGCCAUCAAGCAACACACCACCAUGGGGAAAAUUAUUUAAAAAGUCCCAAAUCUAUUAUAUUUUUGCCAAUUUAGUUUUAAAUAUUUUAAUUUUGUUAAUUCAGUCAUAAACAUUGUCACUUCUUGCUAAUUUAGUCCAUCUGGCCAAUUUUGGAUAAAAAUUGCUAACAUGAACGGCCGAUGUUAAUGUGAAACUUUUUAAUAAUAUUUUAAUUUUUUUUAUAAUUUUUUCUUCUUUUAUUAAUUUUUUUUUUUUUUUGGGUUUCGAAUUUGGACCGGCAACCCUCGCCAGAUCUAGCCAAGCGAGGGCGGCCAAGUCCCCGCCUGGCCAGACUUGGUGAUGGCGUUGCAGCCCUCACCAUUUCUAGGCGAAGGCUCGCACGCCCUCGCCUUGGCCGACAAGGGGCGUGACGUCCUCAACUAGAGCCGGCCCUUCGCCUUGGCUAGCAAGGGGCGUGAUGUCCUCUACCAGAGCCGGCGAGGGCCGGUUAGUCCUCGCCCAUGGUCGGUGAGCCCAAAAGAAAAAGCCAAAAAAAUGAAAUAAUAAAAAAAGGGAAAAAAAUAAAAAAUAUUAUUGAUAUAUUAUUUAAAAAAGGGUAAUGCCAGCGUCAGUUGUUCAUGUUAAUAAUUUUUUGCCAAAAUUAGCUGGAUGGACUGAAUUAUCAAGAAGUAAAAAGGUUUAGGAUUGAAUUAGCACAAGUGCAAUAUGUUUAUGACAUUUUGGACAAUUUUCCCCACCACCAUGCAAAACAAAUAACCACCCUCCUAUAAAAAAAAAAUUUAAAAAGGGCAAGAAAAGCCAAGUUAUAGGCUUUGAAGUCCCGAUUUUAAUUUAUUUUUAAUCAAUCACAUUGUAUUUGCUAAUGUUAGAAGUUUGAACCAAACAUUGAGCUAAUAAGUGAAGAAAGACCGCAAUGGGAUGUUUCAAUACUCCUUGUGAUAUUUUAACAUCCCCUCUUGCAUGAAAAUUGAAAAAAAAGGGUAGACUUGGUUCAUAUACCAUAUUAGAAAGUCAAAUUCAAAAUAUUAAACUAAAAAAUAGAGAGAAAUUACAUAUACAUAAAGAGCAUAUAAAUCGAAUAAACAAGUAAUGGAAGAUACCUUAACAAUCCAUAAUGCCUACUAUUUGGAGUUUUGCGAAGCUCCCCUCCAAUUCAUUUCACGGUUUUUAGUUUCAAUUGGGUAAUCAAGCCUUUAAGAAUAGUACAUCCACCGUUGGAUGACGUGAACUUUCCAUGGAUACCAACUUUUGACGAUACAAGUGAGAAAUCAUGAAUCCUAGAAUUCAUUCUUUAUGUUGUGAAUUCCCCUCUAGAUCAAAUUAAACCAAUCAUUAGGUAAUUAAAGGCAAUUGGAUGUGAUGGUUGAUCUAGCUAGUUUCACUAGUUGCGAUAGUGGCAACACCAUUGGAAUGAGUCGCCUUGGCGGUGGUGUGGACGCCAACAGCAUGGCGGUGGCCGUGGGAAUGGGGGUGCUCUCUCUUGCCCCAUUCCUUCAUUUCUUAUUUCUUUUUCAGUUUUUUGCUGUUUUUUUUUUUUUAGCUUUUCCUUUCGCUUUUAUUAAGCUUAUAUUUGAUAAGAUACAUGAAAAUCUAGACAUAAUUCUAAUUGACAAGUACCAUAGAGAUAAAUGAAUGAAUAAUUAAAGUAUGAUUCAACGUGAAAACAGUUAGACAAACAUUAUUGUUGAUUUUGAGCAAGAGAACAACAAUAAAUGCUGAUUCUUAAAUAAUAUUUCAAUCAAUGGAAACGGAAAAAAAAAUGUAAAAAGUGAAGUAAUAAAGUCAAUUUGCAUCCAGGAAAGUCUUGGUCUUCCUGAGUUUAUGUUAUACGUGGCCAUGACAGUGCUAAAAAUUCGCAGCAAGAUGGGUGGCUAUGAUCUGCUGAAGAGUGCUGAGGAAGUAAUUAAUGAUCAGGAGCAGAUUAAUAGGAGAAUGCUAGUCCUUUUGAACACGAUUUUCCUGUUCAUGAGUUUUAUGUGUAGACCAUAAUUUCCAGUAGAUCAUACUAUUAGAUGGUUAUUUGUGGCUCCUUUAUUAUUGACAGAGUAAAACAAAGCAACUUGCUUAAUGGAUUGGUUGGUGUGCCUAACCCUUUUUCUUGUUUAGCUCAAAGCACGUGCUUUUGUUUUCCUUAUUGAAUAGAGAAAGUUAGCUGUCUAUGAUGACUUGUAGUUAUAUAACGAAAAGUCUUGGUCUUCCUAAGUUUAUGAUUUAUAUACAUGAACAAAUAUAUGAUUAUGGAAACUACAAAUAUCUGAGGAUAUUCUCUCAACAUUACGAGACAAUCACUUGUGGACAAAAGGUAUGUUAUAUCGAUUCGUCUAACCACUUAUGCCUAUUAUUGAAAGUCUAGGUCUUUGUUUAUUGUUUUUGGUAGGUGAAAGUCUUGGUCUUCCUGUCCUUUUGUAGUUUAUUUUAUGUUGAUUCCGAAAAUCUGCCAAUCAAGUAUUUUGCUCCGGUAGCUGGUUCUUUGAAGAUAAACGUGGACGGAUCCAUCCGUGAGGGGUCAACGGAAGGAGCCGUGGCUGGUGUAGUUCGAGAUUUCUCCGGUAGCCUCGUGGAUGGCUUCGCGAAGCAGGUUCGGGCGGUGUUGAGCCUUCACAUUGAAACCCUAGCUGUGCUUGAAGCCUUGGAGUACAUAAAGCAGAAAAAUAUAGCAGAAGCUUCAGUUGAAACCGAUGGCAUAGGGCUUGUGCAAUCCCUAAAGUACAAGAAAGACUUUACUUGGGAAACACGUGCGAGCUGGACAAAGUGCCUUGAACUUCUGCAGCAACUUCCGAACGUGGAUCUGCGCUAUUGUCCGCGGGCCGCCAACACAGCUGCGGAUUGGGCCGCGCGACAAAAAAGAAGUAAAAGCCUCCCUUGCAACUGGACGUUUUCUCCCCCUCAAGGCCUAUGGGCCAUAUUAUGUAAUGAUGCGUCAAUUGUGGGGCUGAGACCAGCUAUAAUAUAAAUAAAAUAGCACUUUUCGAACAAAAAAGUAUUUUGUCAAGAAGAUUUUCAAUAUUUACUCCUUAUUCCACACAUUUUAUCAUCUAAAUCAAAACCGUAAAUACAAAGGAUACUCUACGCCCGACCAAAGCUCUAAACUUCAAUUUCUAACUUUCAUCGUUUACCAAGUACUUUGCUUCUUGUUGUUUGGAUCCAAUUUGUCCGCGGUUUAUGCUACAUCAUAUUGUCCAUUACAUGCUUGUAAGGGACUGACAAUGUGAGUAUAAUGCUAUUAUUACUCAUUUAUUUGGUGAAGUCAGUGUCUAUUUUUCUUCUUUUUUAUAUAUUUAUGUUUUUGGGUUGACAUUAAAAAUGGAGCUCUUGAUUUGGUGGGAUAUAAAUGAGGGGGUGGAAAUUCAUGAGCCAUAAGUGGCGGAAAUUCACGAGACAUGAGUGGGGUACCAUAUGCUCAUUUGAGUGUACACAAAUGUUCAUGGGAUUCAUUGGAAUUGGAAAAUGUGAAGAACUUUAGAUUGGUUCACGCAUCAAGUUCGAGGACCGUGUUUUCUUUAUUGCCCACUGCCUUCAAGAGACUAAUCAAGCCAUUGAUUGGGUCACCAAGGCCCACCGAAACAAGACUCUCCCUACCAAUUAAUUGUCUUUACCCCAUCUUUCCCUAUGGAAUAUUUUAUGUUCAAAAACUCAAUAGUCUAACCCUAGUAGGGUUUGUUUCUUCAUAUGAAUGAAUGUGUCUUUCAACCAAAGAAAAAAAGAAAAAUUUGGGAAGUGGUUUACUUUGUCAUAUCAAACUACUAGUCGAAUUUUGAAUAAAUCUUGGGUAUUUUGAUCUUCUCAAAUUUUUGCAUCUUUAUUUUAUGUCAUUACCUUACUUGUCAAUUUGAUGAAAGAGGUCAUUUUCUGAUAAUUAACUCAAAUUAGCAUUGGAAAUUGUUCGUUUAUUUAUGUUUUCAAAGAUGGGUGCAUGGUAUCAGUGCUUGAUUAACCCAUUGGACAAGGUAUCAUGUCUCGAAUUCAAUUUNNNNNNNNNNNNNNNNNNNNNNNNNNNNNNNNNNNNNNNNNNNNNNNNNNNNNNNNNNNNNNNNNNNNNNNNNNNNNNNNNNNNNNNNNNNNNNNNNNNNNNNNNNNNNNNNNNNNNNNNNNNNNNNNNNNNNNNNNNNNNNNNNNNNNNNNNNNNNNNNNNNNNNNNNNNNNNNNNNNNNNNNNNNNNNNNNNNNNNNNNNNNNNNNNNNNNNNNNNNNNNNNNNNNNNNNNNNNNNNNNNNNNNNNNNNNNNNNNNNNNNNNNNNNNNNNNNNNNNNNNNNNNNNNNNNNNNNNNNNNNNNNNNNNNNNNNNNNNNNNNNNNNNNNNNNNNNNNNNNNNNNNNNNNNNNNNNNNNNNNNNNNNNNNNNNNNNNNNNNNNNNNNNNNNNNNNNNNNNNNNNNNNNNNNNNNNNNNNNNNNNNNNNNNNNNNNNNNNNNNNNNNNNNNNNNNNNNNNNNNNNNNNNNNNNNNNNNNNNNNNNNNNNNNNNNNNNNNNNNNNNNNNNNNNNNNNNNNNNNNNNNNNNNNNNNNNNNNNNNNNNNNNNNNNNNNNNNNNNNNNNNNNNNNNNNNNNNNNNNNNNNNNNNNNNNNNNNNNNNNNNNNNNNNNNNNNNNNNNNNNNNNNNNNNNNNNNNNNNNNNNNNNNNNNNNNNNNNNNNNNNNNNNNNNNNNNNNNNNNNNNNNNNNNNNNNNNNNNNNNNNNNNNNNNNNNNNNNNNNNNNNNNNNNNNNNNNNNNNNNNNNNNNNNNNNNNNNNNNNNNNNNNNNNNNNNNNNNNNNNNNNNNNNNNNNNNNNNNNNNNNNNNNNNNNNNNNNNNNNNNNNNNNNNNNNNNNNNNNNNNNNNNNNNNNNNNNNNNNNNNNNNNNNNNNNNNNNNNNNNNNNNNNNNNNNNNNNNNNNNNNNNNNNNNNNNNNNNNNNNNNNNNNNNNNNNNNNNNNNNNNNNNNNNNNNNNNNNNNNNNNNNNNNNNNNNNNNNNNNNNNNNNNNNNNNNNNNNNNNNNNNNNNNNNNNNNNNNNNNNNNNNNNNNNNNNNNNNNNNNNNNNNNNNNNNNNNNNNNNNNNNNNNNNNNNNNNNNNNNNNNNNNNNNNNNNNNNNNNNNNNNNNNNNNNNNNNNNNNNNNNNNNNNNNNNNNNNNNNNNNNNNNNNNNNNNNNNNNNNNNNNNNNNNNNNNNNNNNNNNNNAGUUUUUUAGUUAUUGAUUGAGGGAAAGGAUGGUACUUGAAAAUCAUUUUUGCUUCCAGUAUCAUCCUUGUCAAUUUGUAGUUUUGCUAUCAAGUUUCGAUGAUCUUUUCUCGAACUUGAAAUGAACACAAUUGUGGGAAGAUACUUACGUUGGGACAUCAACCAAAUUGCCUAAAUACAGUUUUGGUUCUUUUAAAAUUGAUGUUCAGGCAAUUUAUCUCUCUUACUUUUUUGUGGCAGUGCAAUGUCCUGACAUUGUCGGCUUGUACAAUAAAACCUUUCCGUGCCUACCAUUACUUGUAGUGUCCAAUCGAUAAUGUGGCGCCACAUUGGCAAAUUUAGAAAAAAAGUAUAGAAUAUGUAGGAAGAGAGAGGUGGUGGGAACAGUUGCCUAGCCUUGUCCAUACGCUAGCUAAUAUGGUGUCUUGUUUUUGGCGUAACUUUUGGGUUUCGCCCCUUUCAAUGCCCCCCAAAAAAAAAAAAAGAUUGUGUCCUGUACUGGACAAGUAUCAAAAACAAAGGGAUACGACAAAAAUUAUGCCGUAAUACCUUCAACUACUUUGUCCCUGAUCAAUGAAUCUUAUAUGUAUGAAAAAAAGAUUUUUAUAUCCUCUCAAAAUGAUAGGUCAUUUAUCUACCCAAUAAAGUCACAAUGCAACGAAGCAUCACAAAUAUCAUUAUUUUCUUCAAUGAUAAUAUCUUAAGAACAAUUAGUUCUAACUACUUAGUAAUAGGUUCAAUGAGUAGAACACUCGACACUAUUUGUGUAUUAAGAGAAAAUCGGGCACUAUGUGGGUUCGUGAAUAUUGCUGUAUUGGGAAAGACGAAAUCUUCUUAUUCAAAAGCAAGCGCGUAAAUUACAAAUCAUUGCUAUAAAUUUAAUUUGAGUCUUGUUAAUGAAUAUUUCGAAAUCACUUCUUAAUUGUACUUAAUAAAGAAAGAAAAUCGUUCACAAAACAUUACAUGUAAAAGAUAUAAGGGAGACGGUGCAUCAAAUAGAACAAUAUUUCUCUAUUCAAAUAUUUAACAAGUAUCCUUGGACUACAUGUUAAGAAGUCCUAAUGAUUUUAGUAAAUAUUAAGCGCAUCCAUUUAACUUUACCCCACCCUAAAAUUGAUGCAUUGAGCUUCACGACACGUGUCAUGGGACUCAUAGGCAAGGGUAGACAAUGGUAGGUCCCAAGAAAUUUUUAAAAAUGAAAUAAAAAGAAGAGGCUCCAAUGUGAACAAAAAUAAUCAAAUCAAAUCCGACAGGGAGCUGCAAAGGGAGCGGUUGAGAUUGUCGGAUGGGCGUGAGGUCCGUCUUGUAAUGAUGCACCCACCGUCCAUCAUCGAUCCGGCGAGAGAGCAGUUUUCAACGUUGGAUAAGGGCGGAUCCAUAGCAAGUAUCCUGGACCUGAAGACUACCGGAUAAUUCGGCCUUUGAGAACGUGUGCGUGCUUUUUACAGUGAGGAAGCUUCGAACAGAAUAACCCACUUCAACAGAAAAAAAAAAUUUAUUAUUUUAAUUCGGAGAAACUAUAUAGAAUAAGAUUUUCUUAAUCAAGAUAUAUUAAUAUGUAGAAGAGAGGACCGUCUGAUUUUUUAGUAUUUCAACACGAAGAGUAUGCGAGCUUAUUCGUAGAAUUUACAAAAUAACUAUUAUAGUAACAAAAUCGAACGAAAGUUAAUUUACGUGGUGUUGAAAUGAUUGAAUCAUUUUCGCGAGAUGAAUAAUCACUUAUACAUGCGUUGCAAACUAAGAGGAUAACAUUGACCAAUUUGAAAUGUGUAUAAAUGUAUUUACAAAACAUUAUUUUUUUUUUAAUAUCUCCUCAACGGCCUCCUAAAAGUUCAUACUUCUAAGUAAGAUGAGUUGCCGGUUUAUCUCAUUUGACUUUUUUUUUUGCACUUGGAAAAAUUACUGACAUCCUUUCAUAUUUUGCCAAUUAAUAUCAUUUUUUUUGCUUAUUUCCUAGCCUUUGAUUUUACAACAUUAAAUUUGGAGCACGAGGCAAAUAUUACAUGUAAGGACUCAUGCUUUAGAUUCUCUUUUACAAAAGAGAGAGAGAGAAAAAAAAAAGAUCCACACUUUGGGUUUCUAAACCCUAAAAAGCCCAAGUCGUCAUUUUAUGUUCCAUACUCCUAAAAGUGAGUGACUCUCGUAUUUGUUGACUCCCCCUUCUAAGCUCUAAUUCGCAAUAAAGAAUUUUUAGAGGGGUCAAUUUUCAAUUUUUAUUUUUUGCAAGCGCCCAAAAAUAUUUUUAUCGUAUGCAAUUUAUUGGUGGUGCCAUGAAGCCAAGAACGCAUCACUAGAUUGACCAUUUGCUCAAUGUAAUCGCCAGAAGCGAAUUUAGGGUUAAGCACAUGUUUUAGAAAUGGUUUAUUAAAAAAAAGAAAGCGUGAAUGAAAAGUUGCUAUUUUUUCAUUGUGCAAAGCUUACUACAAGAAAGUAAAAGAAUAAGGGAAGCACAAACCUAUAAAGAAAUUAUUGAUCUACUCCUGCUCGUCUGACCCUAGACUUUCGUUAGACAACUACACAGACCCUUUUUCUUGUUUAGCUCAAAGCACGUGCUUUUGUUUUCCUUUUUGAAUAGAGAAAGUUAGCCAUCUCUGAUGACUUGUAGUUGUCUAACGAAAAGUCUUGAUCUUCUUAAGUUUAUGAUUUAUGUACAUGAACAAACAUAUGAUUGUGGAAACUCCAAAUAUCUGAGGAUAUUCUCCAAACAUUACGAGACAAGUACUCGUGGACGAAAUGUAUUUUAUAUCGAUUCCUCUAACCACUGAUGUGCAUUCUUGAAAGUCUUGGUCUUUGUUUAUUGUUUUUGGUAGGUGAAAGACUUGGUCUUCCUGGCCUUUAUAGUUUUCUCUCUCCCUUAUCUCUUUAUCACUUAGAUUCACCAUCACCCAUGCCUUUCCCCGUGCUCAACAGUGUUCUCCUCCUGCUCGUCUGAACCUAGUGGUCUUGCUUGCUGGAUUGCUGUCAUUGAUCUCAUCCCAUUCACCGGUUUGCUCCAGGAAGUCUCCUCGGAAAAGGUAAGAGACAUCUAUCUUCUUGCUCUGUUUUUCCCUCAAACUGAUGCAGACGCAACUUGCUACCUAAAGCAUCUGGUGGGCGUUUAUUACCCGAGAGCAACCACCUAUUCUUUCUUAAAUCUUUCUAUUAGUGGAGGCAAAGAAGAGGCAACAGCAGCAACAUAAGUUUACCGAUUUCAUGCCUAUCUAUGAUCCUGAUUAAAGUUGAUGUCAAAUACUUGAUGUCGAGUUUAAUAACAAAAACCUAUUACUUCAAUUUUUGUUAGAUAGUAAUAUUAGGACAUUAAGAUUAAUUUUUAAUCUCUCCAUCAUUGAUCUCUUUACUAAACACACACUGACGUGGAAUAAUUUUGCUAAGUACAAGUUUGGGAUUUUACAUGAAAUAAUCACAUAUCAGUUUGGAAUUUUAGUCAAUUAAAUUGGGUAAACAACAAUAAAUAUUAUAAGGGGAUAGCUUCAUUUCUCUUAGAAGAGAUUCACAGGAAAUUCACGUUUGCUAUAAUUUCGCGGUGCCAAACAAAAUAAAUAAUUUAUGUUGUGAUUUUUCACAUCUUCACUCUUAUGGUAGAUUUACCAUCAACGGAAGGGGGUAAGGUGAAUUAAUAAGGUGUUUGCGAUUUAGUAUUCUUUUAAAGUGUGCCAGUGUAAUCAAUCGAGUUAAGUCAAUUCAAUCGCAAAUUCAACUUCACAUGAAGUAGUCUUUGCCGAAGCCCUAAGGGUGUUGCAUGUGGACGACUUGUUUUCAUUGUGCGAAAACCGAUGAUAGUUCAGUGUUGGAAAACUUAUUCAUGUUUUUUCUUUCAAGAUAGAGAAAAAUGUGAAGGUGUUCACAAUAAAAAAUUAAAUUUUGAAUUAUGGAAAUCAAAAUUGUGCUUUGUUAGAAAAAGACCAUGUGAAGACUUAGUGUUUUGUUAGAGAAAAAGGUAUUCCUACGUCAGAAUAGUUUCUGAGAUUGUUCCAUCUUUUAUAAUGCGCAUUAAUUUGGUAUUAAACAGAAUUCACAUAUUUUUCAACCCUAAAAAGCCCAACUUGUCAUUUUAUAUUGUACACUCCUAAAAGUGAGUAACUUUCUUAUAUUUGUUGAGUCCCCCUUUUAAGUUCUAAUUCAUGCUAAAGAAUCUUUGGUGGGGCUGUGAAGCCAAGAGCACAUCACUCCAUGGAUUUAAUCUCUCUCUCUCUCUCUCUCUCUCUCUCUCUCUCUCUCUCUCUCUCUCUCUCUCUCUAUAUAUAUAUAUAUAUAUAUAUAUAUAUAUAUAUAUAUAUAUAUAAAAUCUAUUUUCCCUUUGAGCCCGAGAGAGAGGGGACCAAUAAUGCAUGUAAUCGGCGAAUUAAGGGUUUAGUACAUGUUUUAGAAAUAAUUCAUUAAAAAAAAGCGUGAAUGAAAAGUAAAUGUUUAUGAUCGUGCAUUCCCAUUCCCUCUACCAGAAAGUAAAAGAUAUGAUAGCGAGAAGGGAGAGGGAAAAAAUAUACAAAGUCACCACCUGAAAGAAGUGAAAUGCUCCGACCAAAAAAAAGUCAUUUUGUUAAAAAGAUUAUUAUGGCUCUAAUCUCCUUGUGAAUUUUACAUUAUGAUGUUAUCAAAUAUUGAAAACUCAUCAUUUUUUUCUUAAUUGUAGACCAAUAGAAGACAAAUAAAAGAGGGACAUUUGCUUUCAUCCAAGGUAAAUAGGAAAUACAUCGUUGAAAGCAACCUUCUUGUUUGUUCGAUCUUUUCAUACUUGUCGGAAUCAUCAGAUCGCCAUUGCCUGUGAUGGAGAGCACGUUAUGUCUGAGUGAACUUCACGCCUUUAUGAACGUAUCAGAAUACAUAAUGUUUAAAGAACACUUCUAGAGAGAAUGCCUUCUUGCUGCACAAAAAGAUGUAGAAAAACAGACGAAAGGCUGGAUAGAGAGCACAUGCUCUCCGAACGAUUCUGCUCAUUGAUCGCAUAUUCUGGAUAUGCGAUCAAUGUAUGCUUUUAGUGGCAGUUACAGUGUUAAAACCUCGUAGCAAGAUGGGCAACAAUGAUCCGCUGAAGAGUGCUGAGGUAAUAGUUGAUAAUCGGAAUCGCUUGAUAAGAGAACAUGGUCCUCUGAACACAAAUUUCCCGUUCAUCAGUCUGAUGCAUAAAGUAUAAUUUUCAGUAGAUUAUAUAAUGUUAGCUGGUGAAUUUUUUUACUCCUUCACUAUUUGCAAAGCGAACUAAACCAACUUGGUUAAUGGAUUAGUGAUGUGCCUGACCCUUUUUUCUUGUUUAGGCAUGUGCUUUAUUUUCCUUAUUGAACAGACAAAAUUAGCUGCCUUUGAUCUCUUUACAUGGUCAUUCACGUUGAAGGAGGAAUCAGUAAUCUUAUCAUAUCCUAAACAAAUGCAAAUUUUCAGCAUUGUAACUGUCACGUAAAAGCCUACAUUGAUUGCAUAUUCACCAAUAAAGCAGAAAAAAAAGGACAAUGAAUCAUAAAGAUUCUAACAAUAUAUGAAUGCUAGAAAAGCCAACACAUCAGUCAUAAGCAAUGAAGUUUUUGAUGAAAAUAUGUGUGCGCUCUAAGUUGGUCAUGUGUAGAAAAAUCACAUUUUAUCCUCUGUUUGGAUAACCACAAGAAAAGUCUCAAUCUGAAGAAAAGGGAGAACAAUUGACGAAACAAGCACUCUUGGGCAAAAAACUAUUUAUUUUGAUUUGUCUAACCUUUCGUAUGCGUCUCUUAAAAGUCUUGGUGUGUUUUUUUUUAUUCUCUUUGGUGAGUGAACGUCUUGGUCUUCUUAUAAUUCAUAGUUUUCACUCUCCACUAGCUCAUUUUAACUUUGCUUCAUCAUAACACCUUUGUUGUUCUCUAUAGUGACCGAUUCACCCAUGUCCAUUGGAGAGAUCGUUUUGGGUUCCUUCUUGGCUUCCCUCUUUCAAGUCUUGUUUGAAAAGUUGGCUUCUCUCCCUUUGGGCUCUACACAACAAGAAGGAAUUAGCAUUGCCCAGCUCAAGGGUUGGGAGGAAGAGCUGACAAUGAUCAAUGCAAUGCUGGCUGAUGCAGAGGACAAGCAACUCAAAGGUGAUCAUCAAGUGAAGCUAUGGUUGGAUGAUGUUGGGGACUUGGCCUAUGACAUGGAAGACUUGCUCGAUAAGUUCGCCAUCAAAACUGCUCAAGUUAAGAUGGAGGUAGAAUCUAGCACAAGCAAAGGUCGAAUGAAAUGGAAGUUCUCUUGCUUUGGCCAAAAUAAACCCUCCAGAUGGAAUCCGAACCCAUCCUCGCUCGUGUCUAAAACCAUGGUCCAAGAGAUCAAUGGUAGGUUGGAAGCGAUCAUCGAUAGGAAGGCUCGUUUAGGCUUGGAAGUGAUCGUCGACAGGAAGGUUUGUUUAGGCUUGGAAGCGAAUGUUGUGAACAGAUCCACCUACAUCAAUAAAAGGGUUCCCACUAGUUCUCUGCCGGAGCGUCAAUUUUUUGGCAGGGAGGAGGAAGAAAGGGAGAUACUCGAAUUAUUGAUCCGUGAGGUAAAAAAUGACACACUAAGCAUAGUCCCCAUAGUUGGGAUGGGCGGUGUUGGAAAGACGGCCUUUGCUCAGCAGCUAUAUCAUAAUGCCGAAGUGAAUAGCUAUUUCGAGAAGAGAGCAUGGGUUUGUGUCUCAGAUGUUUUUGAUGUCCUUGACAUAACAAAGACUAUUUUGCAGUCGAUCACUGGAUUGUCCAAUGUGGGUGAAGAUCUUGACAAGCUUCAAGUUAAGUUGAAGGAUAGUAUAUCUGGGAAGAAAUUUCUAGUGGUUUUAGACGAUAUCUGGAAUGAGGAGUAUGAAAAAUGGACUACUUUUUUAAAGCCAUUUGAAGUGGGGGCUAAGGGAAGCAAGAUCAUCAUCACGACUCGCAUCCUUGAAGUUGCUGCCAUAAUAGGAGCUUUGCCAUAUCAUUUGAGGGAAUUGUCCUCUAAGAAUUGUAUAAGUUUAUUGGCCUUUCAUGCUCUUGGAGCAACAAAUUUUGAGAGCCACCCGGC
rnacentral:lncRNA from 1 species